rnacentral:pre_miRNA from 1 species
UCUUAUGGACGAGCAAAAGAAGGGGUUUCCUGAGAUGGAAUAUACUCCUGGUGAAGAUGCUGUGAA